rnacentral:rRNA from 1 species
ACGGAAUAGAUACCCGGGUAGUCCACGCUGUAAACGAUGAGUGCUAGAUGCCGGAUUUUUUCGGUGUCGCAGCUAAACGCAUUAAGCACUCCACCUGGGAAGUACGAUCGCAAGGUUGAAACUCAAAGGAAUUGACGGGGGCCCGCACAAGCAGUGGAGCAUGUGGUUUAAUUCGAUGCAACGCGAAGAACCUUACCUAGGCUUGAAAAGCUUAUGACCGGCUGUGAAAGCAGCUUUCCCGCAAGGGCAUAAGUACAGGUGCUGCAUGGCUGUCGUCAGCUCGUGCCGUGAGGUGUUGGGUUAAGUCCCGCAACGAGCGCAACCCUUACCAUUAGUUGCCACCGGAGCAAUCCGAGCACUCUAAUGGAACUGCCUACGCAAGUAGUGAGGAAGGUGAGGAUGACGUCAAGUCCGCAUGGCCCUUACGCCUAGGGCUACACACGUGCUACAAUGGCCGCCACAACGGGCAGCAAAAUCGCGAGAUGGAGCGAAUCCCUAAAAAAGCGGCCUCAGUUCGGAUUGGA